rnacentral:rRNA from 1 species
CCUACGGGGGGCUGCAGUAAGGAAUAUUGGUCAAUGGACGAAAGUCUGAACCAGCCAUCCCGCGUGCAGGAUGAAAGCCCUAUGGGUUGUAAACUGCUUUUAGCAGAGAAGAAAAGCUUUCAUUAAUGAGAGUCUGACGGUAUCUGCAGAAUAAGCACCGGCUAACUCCGUGCAAGCAGCCGCGGUAAUACGGAGGGUGCGGGCGUUAUCGGGAUUAACGGGGGCGUAGGGGUAGGUAGGAGGCGUAGGUGAAAUCUUGUCGCUUAACGAUGAAAUUGCCAAUGAUACUGGUACUCUUGAAUUGGGUUGAGGUUAGCGGAAUGUGACAUGUAGCGGUGAAAUGCAUAGAUAUGUCAUGGAACACCAAUUGCGAAGGCAGCUAACUGGGCCUUGAUUGACGCUGAGGCACGAAAGCGUGGGUAGCGAACAGGAUUAGAUACCCUUGUAGUC